UACGAGGGGGGCAAAUGUUGUUCGGAUUUACUGGGCGUAAAGGGCGCGUAGGCGGUCGUGACAAGUCACUUGUGAAAUCUCCGGGCUUAACUCGGAACGGUCAAGUGAUACUGUCGGACUAGAGUACAGAAGGGGGCAACUGGAAUUCUCGGUGUAGCGGUGAAAUGCGUAGAUAUCGAGAGGAACACCUGCGGCGAAGGCGGGUUGCUGGGCUGAUACUGACGCUGAGGCGCGAAAGCCAGGGGAGCGAACGGG
rnacentral:rRNA from 1 species